UACGGGGGGGGCAAGCGUUGUUCGGAAUUACUGGGCGUAAAGGGCUCGUAGGCGGCCAACUAAGUCAGACGUGAAAUCCCUCGGCUUAACCGGGGAACUGCAUCUGAUACUGGAUGGCUUGAGUUCGGGAGAGGGAUGCGGAAUUCCAGGUGUAGCGGUGAAAUGCGUAGAUAUCUGGAGGAACACCGGUGGCGAAGGCGGCAUCCUGGACCGACACUGACGCUGAGGAGCGAAAGCCAGGGAAGCAAACGGG
rnacentral:rRNA from 1 species